ACCUGCGAGCUGAAACACACAUUCGUACUUCUCCCAGUCUUCAGUUGGAGGUUUCAGGUCAACACUCAUCUGGAAGGAUCCAUCGUUGUUGGGGAGGAUCUCUCCGUGGUCCACGUCCUCAUGAAGCUCCUCUCCAUCUUUCCUCCAGAACAUCGUGGCUCUGUCAGGGUAGAAACCUGUAGCGUGGCAGCUGACUGGAGAGGAGGGAGUCUUCUGGAGGAGAGACACUGAGGGAAGCUCUGGAGAGAGAGAGAGAGAGAGAGA